GGUUUGUUUGUUGUCUGUGUUUGUUGUCUGUGUUUGUUGUGUGUGUGUGUCUAUGAUGCUGGAGGUUUGUUUGUUGUUUCUGAUGCUGGAGGUUUGUUUGUUGUCUGUGUUUGUUGUCUGUGUUUGUUGUCUGUGUUUGUGUCUGAUGCUGGAGGUUUGUUUGUUGUCUGUGAUGCUGGAGGUUUGCUUGUUGUUUGUGUUUGUGUCUGUGAUGCUGGAUGUUUGUUUGUUUGUUGUCUGUGAUGCUGGAGGUUUGCUUGUUGUUUGUGUUUGUUGUCUGUGUUUGUUGUCUGUGUUUGUUGUUUGUGUUUGUGUCUGUGAUGCUGGAUGUUUGUUUGUUGUCUGUGUUUGUGUCUGAUGCUGGAGCUUUGCUUGUUGUUUGUGUUUGUUGUUUGUGUUUGUUGUUUGUGUUUGUUGUCUGUGUUUAUUGUCUGUGCUUGUUGUCAGUGUUUGUUGUCUGUGUUUGUUGUCUGUUUGUUGGUAGUUGUUCUUGUGGAAUGAUGUCAUACUUGGCUUGAAUGAACCCUUUUUCUCCAUUCUCCAGUAUUUAAUUUAUUUAUUCUCUAAGUUGAGCGGACAUUGAGCACAAAGAGUUUCAUUACUGAUAAAUGCUGUUUAUGAGUAUAUGAUGAUAAACUUGAACUUGAACUUGAACUUGAAC
ensembl:lncRNA